rnacentral:rRNA from 1 species
GACGAACGCUGGCGGCGUGCUUAACACAUGCAAGUCGAACGGUGAAGGGACCAGCUUGCUGGUUCUGGAUGAGUGGCGAACGGGUGAGUAACACGUGAGUAACCUGCCCCCUUCUUCUGGAUAACCGCAUGAAAGUGUGGCUAAUACGGGAUAUUCUGGGUCUGUCGCAUGGCGGGCCCGGGAAAGAUAUUGCUUCGGUGGGGGAUGGGCUCGCGGCCUAUCAGCUUGUUGGUGGGGUGAUGGCCUACCAAGGCGGUGACGGGUAGCCGGCCUGAGAGGGUGGACGGUCACACUGGGACUGAGACACGGCCCAGACUCCUACGGGAGGCAGCAGUGGGGAAUAUUGCACAAUGGGCGCAAGCCUGAUGCAGCGACGCCGCGUGAGGGAUGGAGGCCUUCGGGUUGUAAACCUCUUUCGCCAGUGAAGCAGGCCUGCUCCUUGUGGGUGGGCUGACGGUAGCUGGAUAAGAAGCGCCGGCUAACUACGUG